rnacentral:lncRNA from 1 species
GCAGGUUGUUUCUGUGAAGGGAGCAAAGUUUCACUGGUUGGCCCUUAUCAGCCACUUUCACAUGACUGACGAGUGCGUUGUCAGUUGCAGUCAUGUUAGGGUAUAUUUGUGCACACACCCUUGAAGCAGAAAACAGAGCAACUCAUUGUCAAGGCCUAUUUUUCUUAAACCAAUGCAUACAUAUUUUUUUUAGAAGAAUGUGGCUAAUCAAUACUCAAGAGUUCUGUGCAAAAAUAUGGUGUCCACCAAACUUCCAUGCAGCUUUAGUGAUAGCCUUUCCGGAGAAACAGGAGCGAUGCAGUUAUUUUAAGCUUUAAUUCCUAUCCAGUCCUAAUGGUUCCUGAAUGGAGUGAUUGUAGCACACAUUUCCUUUGAGGCUAGAAACGUCAGGAGGGGGUGGGGCAGGGAAUUGGGCUGGGGUUGAGGAAUGCCACAUUGCGUUUAGCCUUUUGUUCCCUUCACUUUGGGCAGUCUCAGAUGACUCUGACACGGCAAACAAUCACCGCCCUCUCAUCAUUCACAGGUAAAAUGAGAAGGGCAGUUAGCACAAACAGGAAGCACCAGCUCAAAGCUCUGUGGCAAGCCAGAACAGCCCGUAGCUCCUCGAGGGAGGAGUUGUGUACAGCUCCUUAUUUGGUUGAGAGUGAUCACAUGAGCUGCCGCGUCUGAACAACAGUUGUGAAGUCAGAGAACUUAGAACUCUGGCAAGCCCAGGAGACUUGAAGUGAGACAGAUAAAAAAAAAAGCUCACGGAAUAUAACACUGAGCACAUGGUUUGAGGGAAAAUGCCCACAAACUUCACAGUGGUGCCGGUGGAGGACACCCCUAUAUCAAAUCCAGACUAUGAUGAAGCGAUAAAUAAAGAAGAGAACAAGGAGGAGACGUGCACAGCAGCGGGACCCAACUCAGACAGACUGGCAUUAGAGCAGACAGUACAGAAAUUUCCUGAGGUACUGCGUUCUUACUGCUCAGACCAUCAGAGACGUUCAUGCCUUUGUCUCCCUCUCAGCAUGGAAUGUGAAGAAGGCUUGAAUGUAGAGACAUUAGGUGAGUCAGAAUCUCAUUUAUAUGGAUCACCAAAAGUUCAUUACAAUGGCAAGAGUAAGCUGAUUUUAAAUCAUCUUGUAAUUAAUGUUGAGCAUUUGAAAUUUCACAUACUGGAAAAAUGCUUGUUUGACCUAUAUAAAGCCUAUACAUUGGUAAUGUUUCACUUUUUUACUGUCAACAUAUGUUUCAUACAUUAAGGCAGAGGUGUGCAGUAGGCAUAUCACAGAUAUGCUGUUGUGAAGGUUUAAGAAGAUAUAAACAGAUUAAAACAUUAAAAACCAUAUCAUGAGCCAUAGUUUGAGGCAACACAGGUUGAGUGUCUUCUGGACAGACAAAAAAUGAUCUGGAUGAUCUCUUUGUAUUUUAUCGUCUCAAACAUAUUUUAGAAAAAUAUCUCAUGCUUGUUUGCUGCAAAUAUUGGUUUGGUGCAUGCAAACAAUCAUGGCAUAUUAAACAAUAUACUGGCAUUAAACACUUUUUGAGUUAUUUCAAAGAUGACAACAUGAACAUUAAUUAUUUCAACAGUAUGAAAGUGUUCAAUUACAUUUGAAUUUGAGUGAUGUGGAAAAUGUGAGUUUUGUAAUGUUUUCCCAAGACAAGAACAAACAUGUCUUGUCAAGUUGAGUUAACACUUUCACUUUUAUUAUUUUUUUGUACUUGUACACCUUAUGUCUGGUCCAAAGCUAACAACACUGAGAAAAAAAAACAAAUGAAGCUCUAAUUUAGACUAAAUACACUACAUGCAUUUUGCAGAGAUUUUCAACCUGAUUUGCAGUUUAAAGAAGUUGCUGAAUGUUAGAGAAUGUCACAGACUCAGACUGUGUUCAUCCAGCCACAGGAUCUCAAAAAUUCCUGAUAUUUUGAGCAGAUUUUAGAAUGUUUGUUAUAAAACGGAUAGUUCCAGUCCUUGAUUCUGAUUGGUUGAGCCGUGUUCUAAGCUGUUGUAAAUUACACUAUGAACAUACACCUUUGUUUACCUUUGUGUGUUGCUCGGCAACCACUUUGUUGGAACCAGAACUGUUUCUAAGGAAUUACAUUGUUUGGUGGAAGAAUACUGUUUUUAUUUAUAUCAUUACACUUUAUUUGCUCUGUUUUAUUAUGUGAAAUCUUACUACGUAUAUGGAAUAAUCAUUGUAUAAAAGCAAUAAUCCCCGUGAAGCCGUCAUUUUGCAUCUAGUACUUAAGAUGCAAAAUGACUUGGAAUAUUGUUUUAUGGAAAAUGCAUCAAAAGCUAAAACAAGAACAGAUCUGGAUGAGCAGUGAUGGGGAAAGUUACUUUUAUAAAAGUUAUCUAUUACAGUAUUGUGUAACUAAGUAACUAAUUGUGUUAUGUAGUUACUAAUGCAUUAUGUUGGGCUGGGCUUGUUUAAAAAGCACAUAAGUAAUAUUUUUAGCAACUGUAAGGACUCUUUCACAGCAGAAAUGAAAUGAAUAAACCUGCAGUAACUUGCAUUACUUAUUUGAAAGAGUAACUCGGAUAUUUAGUUUUAAAUUUAAAAGUAAUGCGUUACUUUACUAGUUACUUUAAAAAAAGUAAUCUGAUUACUGAACUCACGUUACUUUGAUGUG